rnacentral:lncRNA from 1 species
GGCAUCCAUAGGCCGUUGUUAAUGGAGCUACUGUAAGUAUUGGCGAAGAUGGACACGUAAACUUAAAAUUCAAUAUCCAUUAUCAGAUCACCAGUCCUGAGCUGCAGUAUGUGCUACCUGCCAACAUACCAGUACUUUCUAUGGAGGCAUUAUAAUAAUUUUGAUCGGUUCUUGAAGAUGGUCUUGUGCAAACAAUUCUAUUUUCAAGCCUUGAAACUUGUUUAACAACAUUUAAAUUUAUCCUGAAAAACUUUGUUUCCUGACUUCAUCUGAACUGGAUCAAAAAGUACUAAGAAGUUUCAAAAGCUCAAGAUUGUCAAAAUCGACCUGUCUUCUUUUUUUUC